UAGUAACGGCGAGUGAAGCGGCAACAGCUCAAAUUUGAAAGCUGGCUCCUUUGGAGUCCGCGUUGUAAUUUGUAGAGGAUGAUUCGGCAAGGGCUCCCGCCUAAGUCUCCUGGAACGGAGCGUCAUAGAGGGUGAGAAUCCCGUAUGCGGUGGGCUGCCUAAGCCAUGUGAAUCUCCUUCGACGAGUCGAGUUGUUUGGGAAUGCAGCUCUAAAUGGGAGGUAAAUUUCUUCUAAAGCUAAAUACCGGCCAGAGACCGAUAGCGCACAAGUAGAGUGAUCGAAAGAUGAAAAGCACUUUGGAAAGAGAGUUAAAAAGUACGUGAAAUUGUUGAAAGGGAAGCGCUUGCAGCCAGACUUGUCCGCAGUUGCUCAGCCGGUCUCCUGACCGGUGUACUCUUCUGCGGCCAGGCCAGCAUCAGUUCGGGCGGUCGGAUAAAGACCUCGGGAAUGUAGCUCCUCUCGGGGAGUGUUAUAGCCCGGGGUGGAAUGCGGCCAGCCUGGACUGAGGAUCUCGCUUCGGCUAGGAUGCUGGCGUAAUGGCUGUAAGCGGCCCGUCUUGAAACACGGACCAAGGAGUCUAACAUCUAUGCGAGUGUUUGGGUGUCAAACCCAUGCGCGUAAUGAAAGUGAACGGAGGUGGGAACCCUCACGGGUGCACCAUCGACCGAUCCUGAUGUCUUCGGAUGGAUUUGAGUAAGAGCAUAGCUGUUGGGACCCGAAAGAUGGUGAACUAUGCCUGAAUAGGGUGAAGCCAGAGGAAACUCUGGUGGAGGCUCGCAGCGGUUCUGACGUGCAAAUCGAUCGUCAAAUUUGGGU
rnacentral:rRNA from 1 species